AUGGAGAAACUCCUGACCGUGUCUUUGGUGAUUCUGUGGCUUCAGCUGGCCAGGGUGAAUAGCCAGCAAGGAGAAGAGAAUCUUCAGGCCCUGAGCAUCCAGGAGGGUGAAAAUGCCACCAUGAACUGCAGUUAUAAAACUACUAUAGACACCUUACACUGGUACAGACAGGAUUCAAAGAGAGGCUUUGCCCACCUGAUUUUAAUACGUUCAAAUGAGAGAGAGAAACGUAGUGGAAGACUGCGAGUCACGCUAGACAACUCCAUCAAAAGCAGUUCCCUGUCCAUCACGGCUUCCCAGGCUGCAGACACUGCUACUUACCUCUCUGUGGUUAGUGGGGGC